GCCCCCGUAGCCCAAUCGGCAGAGGCAGACGACUUAAAAUCGUCGGAGUGUCGGUUCGAGUCCGACCGGGGGCA
rnacentral:tRNA from 1 species